GAAAGAUAGAUAGAUUGAAGAAAGAAGGAAUUGAUGAUUACAACAAGUGAGCUGCAAUGAUCAACAUGAUCUGUUAAUAUAGCAGCUUUUCAUCAAUAUGGCAAGAAGAUGGAAGUCAUCAGCUACCACCAAGUAUAUGAAUAUGAAACUUGUAUGUACAACAAGAUCAUCGACGAGGAAAGUGAUUUCAUGCUUUGUAAAGGAACUUAUGACCACUGAAACAGUUGACGCUUAAGCAGUUGCAGCUUUUUCUUCCGCCAUUUCUGACACUGGAAGAAGGGUGCAGAUCAGGUUGCGAUCUCCAUACACAUUGUCCACUCGUCCUGUAGUUGGCCAGAAUUUGGCACUCCUUAGCCAGGGAGCAGGGUAUGCAGCAUAUUCCCGAGAAUAUGGCUUUGUCCAUGCAUCUGCCAUGAGCAUUGAUGGUGGAUGAGGAGCCCCCUUGAGAACAUUGUUGUUAAUAUCGACAUUCCCUUUCUCAAUCUGAGCGAUUUCUUCUCUGAUGGAGAUGAGUGCAUCACAAAACCUGUCUAGUUCCGCCUUGCUUUCACUUUCAGUAGGUUCAAUCAUAAGUGUACCAGGAACUGGCCAAGACAUUGUAGGUCCAUGAAAUCCGUAGUCAAUAAGACGUUUAGCAACAUCUUCAGGUUCUAUCCCAGCAGUGUUCUUAAAGCCCCUCAGGUCAAUGAUAAACUCAUGGGCACAUGUUCCAUUGACACCUCGGAAGAGGACUGGGUAGUGCUUCUCCAAACGUUUCGCCAUGUAGUUUGCGCUCAGGAUAGCUAUCUUUGAUGCAUCUGUAAGUCCCUUAGACCCCAUCAUGGCAAUGUAGGUAUAUGAAAUCGGCAAAAUAAGUGCUGAACCCCAGGGUGCAGCAGAAAUAGCACCAAGUGGCUUACUCUGAUCGGGGGAUGGGAUCCCUCCAGUUGAUACCACAGGGUGUGAUGGUAAAUAUGGUGCCAAGUGUUUCUUCACUCCAAUUGGACCCAUUCCAGGACCUCCUCCACCAUGAGGAAUGCAGAAUGUUUUGUGAAGAUUUAGAUGACAAACAUCAGCACCAAUAAAGCCAGGGCUUGUCAAACCAACCUGUGCAUUCAUGUUAGCUCCAUCCAUGUACACCUGACCACCAUUGUCAUGGAUAAUCUUACAUAUCUCAUCAAUUCCUUCCUCAUACACUCCAUGUGUUGAUGGGUAUGUAACCAUGAGAGCAGAAAGGUUAUCCUUAUGUGCCUCAGCAGCCUUCCUCAACUCUUCAAUAUUAAUGUUUCCUUUUGCAUCUGUCCCGACAGCAACAAUUUUCAUCCCACACAUUGCAGCACUUGCAGGAUUUGUUCCAUGAGCUGAUACAGGAAUGAUGCAUACAUUGCGGUGAUGGUCACCCCUUGACAUAUGAUAUGCACGAAUAACCAUCAAUCCAGCAUAUUCUCCAGCAGCACCAGCGUUAGGCUGCAACGAGAAGGAAUCAAAACCUGUUAUUGUACACAGUAGGGCGCCCAAAUCGUCGAACAUUUCCUGAUAGCCAGCUGCCUGUUCAGUGGGUGCAAAAGGGUGAAUAUUUGCAAAGCUAGGCCAUGUCACCGGCAUCAUCUCUGUUGUGGCAUUCAAUUUCAUUGUGCAGGAGCCCAAAGGAAUCAUGCUAUGGCACAAGGAGAGAUCCUUUGAUUGCAGCUUAUGGAGGUAUCUCAGCAACUCGUGCUCAGUAUGGUACGAGUUGAAUAUUUGGUGAGUCAAAAAUGGAGUCUCCCUUGUAAGUCCAGAAGGAAUCAGGUUCUCAACCUCUUGUGCAAUUGAUUGAGCAGUGAACGGGACUGGCUUUCCCAAGGCAAAAACUUUGAAUAGAUCGUCCACAUCUUCUAGGGUAGUAGUUUCAUCAAAAGAUACAGUUAUAGUAUUGUUGUCCACAAUCCGCACGUUAAUGUCAUUCUUGGUAGCAACAUCAGCAAUUGCCUUUGCAUCAGAACACUUCACCUUCACAGUGUCAAAGAAUGGAAGAUCCUGAACUUCUACUGUUCCUAGCUUUUUGAGACCAGCAGAAAAUGUUCCAGCAAGACCAUGAACACGUUGGCCAAUGGUUUUUAGCCCCUCGGGUCCAUGAUAGACAGCAUACAUGGCAGCCAUGUUGGCAAGCAAAGCCUGUGCUGUGCAAAUGUUACUCGUAGCCUUGUCCCUGCGGAUGUGUUGUUCCCUAGUCUGCAUUGCCAUACGCAGAGCAGGUUUCCCUGUUGAAUCAACACUGAGACCAAUAAUUCUUCCAGGCAUCAUUCUCUUGUAUUCUUGAGAAGUUGCCAAGAAAGCUGCAUGAGGGCCUCCAUAACCCAUAGGCACUCCAAACCUCUGAGCAGAACCAACAACAAUAUCCGCUCCAAGCUCACCAGGUGGUUUCAACAUUGUCAAGGCCAAAAGAUCAGAUGCCAUAACAACCUUCACCCCAUGAGCAUGUGCAUUCUUAAUAAACUCCCCAUAAUCCAAGAUUUCACCUUCGGUCCCCGGAUACUGAACUAGUACCCCACAAACAUCACCAGACUUAUAAUCAAUAUCCUUAAGAUCUACAGUAACUACCUUAAGAUCAAAUCCAUCAGCUCUAGUCUUACAAAUCUCGAUAGUCUGAGGGUGACAAUUGUUAGCAAUAAGGAAAGUUUUCUUUUUUCCCUUAAGAAUAUUGUUACACAUAGCCAUAGCCUCAGCUGCGGCGGUCCCUUCAUCUAGUAAAGAUGCAUUAGACAUUGGCAAACCAGUAAGAUCCGUAAUCAUGGUCUGAUAAUUCAGCAGGGACUCAAGACGUCCCUGGGAAAUUUCAGCCUGAUAAGGAGUAUACUGAGUAUACCAAGCAGGAUUCUCCAAAAGAUUCCUCAAUAUAACAGGUGGUACAUAAGUAUUAUAAUACCCCAUCCCAAUAUAUGACUUAAAAACCUUAUUCUUAGAUGCCAAUUUCUGCAUAUGCUCAAUCAUCUGUGACUCAGUCAAUCCACCAUCAAACUUAGGUAACUUCAUCGAUUCACUACGAAUCGAUUGAGGUACAGUAGCAUCAAUAAGUGCAUCUAGGCUUUGAAACCCACAAAACUCAGCCAUUUUAGUUUGUUCUUCAGGGGUGGCUGAGUUAUGUCGGCGUGGGAAUGUGUCACUUGGUUUCAAAGCCUCAACAGAAAUUGAUCUAACUUGUUGAGUAUUAAAAGAUUUCACACUAUUUCUAGCCUGAAAUGUGUAUGGUGACAGUGAAGAUACAUACCUUGAAGGUCUGUAUAAUGAUGAUGGUGAUGGGAUUUCAUUAGAACGACUCUGUUUUGAUUGUGAAACCAAACGUUUCAGAAUUGCUCUGUUUGCCAAUUUUCUAGCACGCUCCAUUGAAUUCGAGAUUUGUGAAGGAAAAAACAAGAAACACCCCUAGUAAGGGAUGAAGAUUGAGAAAAGUUGACAAAGCUAAAAGCUUUGGUUUUUCACUAUAUAUAUUUGAUUGUGUAUGGUUUGAUUUAUUUAUGGAACAAAAAGAAAAAAAGUGGGUGGUUGUAAUGGGUUGUUG
rnacentral:misc_RNA from 1 species